rnacentral:rRNA from 1 species
AUUGAACGCUGGCGGCAGGCUUAACACAUGCAAGUCGAGCGGGGUGAUGGUGCUUGCACUAUCACUUAGCGGCGGACGGGUGAGUAAUGCUUAGGAAUCUGCCUAUUAGUGGGGGACAACAUCUCGAAAGGGAUGCUAAUACCGCAUACGUCCUACGGGAGAAAGCAGGGGAUCACUUGUGACCUUGCGCUAAUAGAUGAGCCUAAGUCGGAUUAGCUAGUUGGUGGGGUAAAGGCCUACCAAGGCGACGAUCUGUAGCGGGUAUGAGAGGAUGAUCCGCCACCAUGGGUCCGAGACACGGCCCAGACUCCUACGGGAGGCAGCAGUGGGGAAUAUUGGACAAUGGGGGGAACCCUGAUCCAGCCAUGCCGCGUGUGUGAAGAAGGCCUUAUGGUUGUAAAGCACUUUAAGCGAGGAGGAGGCUCUUUUGGUUAAUACCCAAGAUGAGUGGACGUUACUCGCAGAAUAAGCACCGGCUAACUCUGUGCCAGCCGCCGCCGUAA